AUCUAGCUGACGAGUCCAUAAUGGGAGGAAACGUGCGUCCCAUAU
rfam:Schistosoma curassoni strain Dakar, Senegal genome assembly, scaffold: SCTD_contig0005692